rnacentral:rRNA from 1 species
UACGUAGGGUGCGAGCGUUAAUCGGAAUUACUGGGCGUAAAGCGUGCGCAGGCGUUUUGUAAGCCAGAUGUGAAAGCCCCGGCUCAACCUGGGAAUGGCAUUUGGGACUGCAAGGCUGGAGUUUGGCAGAGGAGACUGGAAUUCCUGGUGUAGCAGUGAAAUGCGUAGAUAUCAGGAGGAAUACCGAGUGGCGAAGGCAGGUCUCUGGGCUAUAACUGACGCUCAUGCCACGAAAGCGUGGGGAG